UCUCCUCUAUUGGACGGACAUUGGGCAUUAUGGGACAUCGACAAUAGGAAGGCUGAAGACAUGUGUAACCGGUGCUUCUGGAUAAAAGAGGUUGGUCUUUUUCUACCUGACUUCAAGGCAUCCACCGGUCAUCCAAACUUUAAAACGUGGCGUUAAGACUUGUUGGAUGGUGGUAAUCUUCGUGCACACUACUUUAUCCUACGUACACCGUUGUUAAAUUGUUGCACACCAACUAAUAUUUCUAAUCUUUCGAAGAGAAUACUAUUAUGUCAAUUGAAACGUAGGAUACUAUUAUGUCAAUUGAAACGUUGGAUACUAAUACGUCAAUAAAAAAUCUUGCACACCAUAUAUAAAAGUUGCACACCAUAUGUCAGCCGGAAUAGAUAAUACAAAAUAAAUGCAACAAGAUAUUAUAUUAAAGUUUUUCAAUAAUUUCCUUGAGUAAUGCAAUCUCCUCAGCGUUUUUCUUCAAGACUUUCUCCAUCUCGUGGAUCUGAUAACCAAGGUGUGCAAUCUCACCGUCGUUUUUUGGGCAUCUUGGUCAAUUCGAUCGAUCCG
rnacentral:lncRNA from 1 species